AGAAAUACUGUCCAGGGGAGAUACCAUGAUCACAAAGGUGGUUUUCCCAGGGCGAGACUUAUCCAUUGUACUCAGAUGUGCUGACCCCUGCGAUUUCCCGUAAUGAGGGAAACUCGACUGCAUAAUUUGUUGUAGUGGGGGGACUGCAUUCCCUGCUCUCCCCUU
rnacentral:snRNA from 1 species